CAGGAAGAAGACCUGCUACAACCAACACCAGCACUGUGCAGAGGGUCACCGCAGCACCCAGAACCUGAGAUGAAAUUCACAAUCUCCACGAGAUAAGGCACAGCCAAAACAGCACGGGAUGACAAAACCUGAACUUGCUAUGGGAAUUUCCAAACAGAUAAGAACUUAAGAACUUUGCAAACACACCCCAGGUUGAAAGACAAGAGCAACUUGAAGAAAAUAGCCAGUGAAAAUAUGAGCACCCUUCUUAAAAGGUCCUCAUAAGAACUGCAACACGAAAGAGACCAAGGCCCUGACUGUCUUCUAUUCAACAGAAUCAGUACUCAGAUGAGUGCCAUCAAGAUCUCUUUAGUCUCCAUAAGUGAUUGCAAACACUUGACAAUCAAGA